rnacentral:tRNA from 1 species
UUAUUUUUAGUUUAAUAAAAACAUUAAAUUGCAAAUUUAAUAUUAUAAAUUUAUUUAUAAAAUAUU